AUGAUAUUAUCAAGAGUAGAUCUGGACAUUGGAACAGUGACACUGGAUUGUAGUACUUUGGGAAACUCUGUUGGUGUUUGCCUUGGACCUUCUUUUAUGCUUACAUGCAGUGGUAUGAGGAAGAGGAAGAAUGUAAGUACAAAAUGUCUGAAAUACUUUUACCAUUGCAUUUAAAUGUGUGGCAUAAUUCUGCUGAGGUCUGUAGGAAAGCCCUUUAAUAGGAUGCAUUCUUGGGGGGGAAAUCACCCCAAUGGUGCAAAGGUCGACUACAGAACAGUGAGAAGGGGUGCCUGUAUUUCAGGCUUCCUUAAACAAUUACACUUAAAUAGAAAUUUGUGGAAAUAAAAAGCUAUUGCGUGAGAACACAAGGGGCAUUUCGAAGAUUCAGUAUUU
rnacentral:lncRNA from 1 species